UACAGAGGUCCCAAGCGUUGUUCGGAUUCACUGGGCGUAAAGGGUGCGUAGGUGGCGAGGUAAGUCGGAUGUGAAAUCUCCAAGCUUAACUUGGAAAUGGCAUUGGAAACUACCUUGCUUGAGGUUUGGAGGGGGGACUGGAAUUCUCGGUGUAGCAGUGAAAUGCGUAGAUAUCGAGAGGAACACCAGUGGCGAAGGCGACUACCUGGCCUGUUCUUGACGCUGAGGCGCGAAAGCUAGGGGAGCAAACGGG
rnacentral:rRNA from 1 species